AGUGAACGCUGGCGGUAGGCCUAACACAUGCAAGUCGAACGGCAGCACAGUUAGCGCUUUCUCUUAUGGGUGGCGAGUGGCGGACGGGUGAGGUAUACAACGGAAUCUACACUUUCGUGGAGGAUAACGUAGGGAAACUUACGCUAACAUCACACACGACCUACGGGUGUAAGCAUGGUUACUCCGCACCUUGUGCGAUUGAAUCAGGCGAUGUCGGAGUAGGUAGUUGGCGGGGUAACGGCCCACCAAGGCGACGAUUCGUAGCUGGUCUGAGAGGGUGAUGAGCCACACUGGAACUGAGACACGGUCCCGACUCAGACGGGAAGGAGCAGUGGGGGAUAUUGGACAAUGGGCGCGAGCCUGAUACAGCCAUAGCGCGUGGGUGAAGAAGGAGUACGGGUUGUGGAGCCCUUUUGUUGGGAAAGAAAAGCAGCAGGUUAAGACCGCGCUGUACUGACGGUACCCAAAGAAUAAGCAACGGCUAACUUCGUG
rnacentral:rRNA from 1 species